AUUGAACGCUGGCGGCAUGCUUUACACAUGCAAGUCGAACGGUAACAGGCCGCAAGGUGCUGACGAGUGGCGCACGGGUGAGUAAUGCAUCGGAACGUGCCCAGUCUUGGGGUAUAACUACUCUGAAGAAUAGCUAAUACUACAUGCGAUCACUGGAUGAAAGCGGGGGACCGUAAGGCCUCGCGCGAUUGGAGCGGCUGAUGUCAGAUUAGGUAGUUGGUGGGGUAAGUGCGCACCAAGCCAACGAACUGUAGCUGGUGUGAGAGGACGACCAGCCACAUUGGGAGUGAGACAGGGACACGACUCCUAAGGGAGGCAGCAGUGGGGAAUUUUGGACAAUGGGCGCAAGCAUGAUCCAGCAAUGGCGAGUGCAGGGAGAAGGCGUUCGGGUUGUGAACUGCUUUUGUACGGAACGAAACGGCUCUGGUUAAGACCCGGGGAUAAUGACGGUACCGUAAGAAUAAGCACCGGCUAACUACGUG
rnacentral:rRNA from 1 species